rnacentral:rRNA from 1 species
AUGCUGAAUGUUCACCUGCGAACAGUUACAAGAAUAUGCAAUCUAGCCAAACGACAACUUACAGCAUGCCAAGAAGUUGAUGUUUCAAGCAAGAAGAACAAGAGUGGUAGGAAGAGGAAAGAACUAGAUCUGUCGAGAACAGCCACAAUCCCUUUGAACAAAAGAAGAACAAUCCGUCCUCUAGCAAGGUGUUUAGGUGUGCCCCGAUCAACCCUACAUGACAGAUUUCAGUUGCAAGAGUUGAAACGCAUCACGAGCACCAUCAAACCCACCCUCAAGCCACAGAACAAGACAGCGAGACUAAAGUUCUGCCUAUCCAUGAUGGAUGAAAGAUGGAUAUCAAGUCCUUGGCCUAGUUUCAAACCAAUGACAAAUAUGGUCCACAUCGAUGAGUAA